UUUAAGCUUUCAGAAACUCUGAAGAGAAUUUCUGCUUAUGAACACAUAAUCUGGAUAGAGGGUAAUUUUACUUUGUAUUUUACUCUUGCCAGGUUAUGUUUAGUCCUUUUCCUCUUCUCACCCCUACCCCAGUUCUUGAUGCUGUUUUGGUGACAAGAAAAGUAACUGUAUCCCCCUGUCCCUGCCUAAAUCCAUGAAUAUGGUGAUAAAGCAACAGAGAGGUGGCAAAGAUCACUUAAAAUAACUUUUCUGAGAAAUACUGGCUCUAGUAGACUUUAUUUUGUGUUUUUUAUAAAUAAGCAACCCUUCAGUGGGGCUCAAUUUUGGAACUCUUGGAAGCACUGCAACUCCUGCAACAACAUCUGCUCCUUCAGGUGGUUUUGGAACCGGGCUCUUUGGAUCAAAACCUAGCACUGGUUUCACUCUGGGAGGAACAUAUACAGGAAUAGCAACAGCUAUAACUACAGGAUUAACUCUGGG